UGGCGUUUUCCCCGAAUCCUUUGCGGAGCAAGGAUUUGAGUCCUAGUGUGGGGAUUCGACGGCUGGUUGCAUCUCGGCUCACGUGAGGAGAGUAAAAGCCAUGUGAGGACACAACAAGAAAGCAGCCAUCUUCAAGCCAAGGAGGGAGGCCUCCAGAAAAACCAGUCCAGCUGGAACAUUGAUCUCAACCUCCACCCUCCAGAACUGACACAGAGACUUUGCUGUGAGAAGGACGCCCUCCAUGGAACAGGAAGCGGAGAACAUCCUUAUCACUGAAGACAGGAGUCGAAGCAAGAUUAAUGUGCAUAAAUAAACUUUAUUAAAAUAAGCCUCAUGUUUAAUUAGUUAUCCUCAUAUAUUUCCUAAUCAGUUUCCCACAAUUUAUCAACCCUACCCCAAAGCCCUUUUUUCUGACAUGUCAGUCUUCACAAUUUAUCAUUCUUUGUUAAAAUGGUGUGAAAGCUUUCAAGUUUAUCUGCUUCUUUGGGGUUUUAUUUCUUAUAUA